AACAGGGCAUCCAACAGGGCGUCGAGAUACACAUGGGAGUUCGACCACAAUUAUGAAGACAAAAGACAAAAUGAUAAAGUCACUGCAGCGUACUGUUUCAAUGCCCGAUGCCUUCAAACAAACUCAUACAUUUAAGAAGAAGAAUGAGAGAUUUGUUGAUUAGCAGUAUGCGGACUUUUAUGAUUUAUACACCCAGAACUUAAAAGUCGCAACAUAGUAAUCUCAGUAGAUGGCAAAUGAUGGCAACUCCUCAAGCGCAUCCGUGGGGAUCCUGAAGUCGUAUGGCGCCAGACUACAUUCGAAUCACAUAAGAAUAAUAUCUUCAAAAUAUGGUCGUUAUUAACCAACAAUCUGUGCACAUCUACCUUCAAGGUUUCCUCUACCUUGGUUACUAGCCCUAUAAAUCUGCAAAACGUAAAUUUCGUGAACAGAUCCAUAGUCUAACCCUAAGCCUGCACGAUUAGGACCUGGAGCACAUAUAGCGCAUGCGGUAGCAAAUGGUUGUCUAAUAUGAGCAUAUGCGUGUAGGGGCAAUGAUGCUGGAGGCGACUCCUCCUCAUCUGCAGUUGUACUAGUCUAGACACCAGCACCCACAGCGUCGCCGCAUCAAGAGCAGC